rnacentral:rRNA from 1 species
CAGUCGCCGCGGUAAUACGUAGGGUGCGAGCGUUAAUCGGAAUUACUGGGCGUAAAGCGUGCGCAGGCGGUUGUGCAAGACAGAUGUGAAAUCCCCGAGCUUAACUUGGGAACUGCAUUUGUGACUGCACGGCUAGAGUGUGUCAGAGGGGGGUAGAAUUCCAUGUGUAGCAGUGAAAUGCGUAGAUAUGUGGAGGAAUACCGAUGGCGAAGGCAGCCCCCUGGGAUAACACUGACGCUCAUGCACGAAAGCGUGGGGAGCAAACAGGAUUAGAUACCCGGGUAGUCCCUGUCUCUUAUAA